ACAUCCAGCCAAGAACACUCUUCAAGAAGAAGGUAUAUCAGUAUUUAAGUCUACCAUGAAGAGAAAACUUCAUGAGGGCAAAUACAGUGGUCCCUCGUUUACUGCGGGGUGCAAACUAUUAAUCAGUCUU